rnacentral:rRNA from 1 species
AUCCAAGGAAGGCAGCAGGCGCGCAAAUUACCCACUCCCGGCACGGGGAGGUAGUGACGAAAAAUAACGAUACGGGACUCAUCCGAGGCCCCGUAAUCGGAAUGAGAACACUUUAAAACCUUUAACGAGUAUCCAUUGGAGGGCAAGUCUGGUGCCAGCAGCCGCGGUAAUUCCAGCUCCAAUAGCGUAUAUUAAAGUUGUUGCGGUUAAAAAGCUCGUAGUUGGAUGUGUGUCCCACGCUGUCGGUUCACCGUUCGUCGGUGUUUAACUGGCAUGCCCGUGCGGACGUCCUGCCGGUGGAUGCGGUCGGCCGCGGGGCCCCCCCGGGGUCCUGCGCGUCGGCGGUCCGAUUCAAUCCUACCGCGGUGCUCUUCACCGAGUGUCGAGGUGGGCCGGCACGUUUACUUUGAACAAAUUAGAGUGCUCAAAGCAGGCAGUGGUUCGCCUGAAUAUUGUGUGCAUGGAAUAAUGGAAUAGGACCUCGGUUCUAUUUUGUUGGUUUUCGGAACUCGAGGUAAUGAUUAACAGGGACAAACGGAGGCAUCCGUAUUGCGACGUUAGAGGUGAAAUUCUUGGAUCGUCGCANGACGAACUUAAGCGAAAGCAUUUGCCGAGAAUGUUUUCAUUAAUCAAGAACGAAAGUUAGAGGUUCGAAGGCGAUCAGAUACCGCCCUAGUUCUAACCAUAAACGAUGCCAGCCAGCGAUCCGUCGAAGUUCCUCCGAUGACUCGGCGGGCAGCUUCCGGGAAACCAAAGCUUUUGGGUUCCGGGGGAAGUAUGGUUGCAAAGCUGAAACUUAAAGGAAUUGACGGAAGGGCACCACCAGGAGUGGAGCCUGCGGCUUAAUUUGACUCAACACGGGAAACCUCACCAGGCCCGGACACCGGAAGGAUUGACAGAUUGAGAGCUCUUUCUUGAUUCGGUGGGUGGUGGUGCAUGGCCGUUCUUAGUUGNUGGAGCGAUUUGUCUGGUUAAUUC